rnacentral:lncRNA from 1 species
AAAGUCGUGUCUGUUAAGUCGGUUAACAGUCGGCUAACAGUCGACUGUUUGGUCUGUAAACAGUCGACUGUUUGGUCGGUAAACAGUCGAAACAGUCGACUGUUACAAGAAAAUAAAACACCCGGAAUAAGCCAAAAUUUAAAUAAAUUUUGUACCCAAGAAUUUGAUUAUUUACAAUUUGGCCCAAAAUUUUAAAUAAAUUUUGUCCAAAAAGUUAAUAUAGGUCGUGCCCGUGCCCGAGUCGGCCGGUCGGACGGACGGCGGCGGCGGCGCGCGUGUGGGUUUAUGACCGAACCCAAUGGGAUAUAGGUCUUCCCCCUUCCAAAGACUAUUGGUACCCCUUGGGGCCCAAACCCAAUUCCAAACUUCCACCUUAUAAACCACACCAAAGUUUCCUAACUUUCCUAUGUGGGAUAAGUGUUUGGCAAAUCAAAUUCUUCCAUAAUCCUUAGUUUAUGUGGGUUACUUUAACGCUUAAUAUUUCAUUCAAUUUUAAAUGGUUUUCGAUAAAUAAAUAUAUCACGUUAAUCAUCUCGCGGAGUAGAACGUGAAUAUGCUAGGUCCCGUAUUAUUUAAAAGGUGGGUCCC